rnacentral:rRNA from 1 species
UAAUACGUAGGAUCCGAGCGUUGUCCGGAUUUAUUGGGUUUAAAGGGUGCGCAGGCGGCCUGAUAAGUCAGUGGUGAAAGCCGACAGCUUAACUGUCGAAAUGCCAUUGAUACUGUUGGGCUUGAGUAUAGUUGAGGUUGGCGGAAUGUAACAUGUAGCGGUGAAAUGCUUAGAUAUGUUACAGAACACCGAUUGCGAAGGCAGCUGACUAAGCUAUUACUGACGCUCAUGCACGAAAGCGUGGGGAUCAAACAGG